rnacentral:rRNA from 1 species
UACGUAGGGACCGAGCGUUGUCCGGAUUCAUUGGGCGUAAAGAGCUCGUAGGCGGCUGUUCAAGUCGAACGUGAAAACCCAGGGCUCAACCCUGGGCCUGCAUUCGAUACGGGCAGACUAGAGUUCGGUAGGGGAGACUGGAAUCCUGGUGUAGCGGUGAAAUGCGCAGAUAUCAGGAGGAACACCGGUGGCGAAGGCGGGUCUCUGGGCCGAAACUGACGCUGAGGAGCGAAAGCGUGGGGAGCAAACAGG